AGAGUUUGAUCCUGGCUCAGGAUGAACGCUAGCGGCAGGCCUAAUACAUGCAAGUCGAACGGGUCGCAAGACUAGUGGCGCACGGGUGCGUAACACGUAGGUAACCUACCUUUUACUGGGGCAUAACGAUGGGAAACCAUCGCUAAUUCCGCAUAAGAUCAUAACCCGGCAUCGGGUAGUGCUUAAAGAUUUAUUGGUAAAAGAUGGGCCUGCGGCUGAUUAGCUAGUUGGUAGUGUAACGGACUACCAAGGCCAUGAUCAGUAGGGGUUCUGAGAGGAAGAUCCCCCACACUGGCACUGAGAUACGGGCCAGACUCCUACGGGAGGCAGCAGUAGGGAAUAUUGGGCAAUGGUGGCAACACUGACCCAGCCAUGCCGCGUGCAGGAAGAAGGCGCUCAGCGUUGUAAACUGCUUUUGCCGGGGAAGAAAAAAGAUUACGUGUAAUCUGAUCGACGGUACCUGGUGAAUAAGCACCGGCUAACUCCGUGCCAGCAGCCGCGGUAAUACGGAGGGUGCAAGCGUUGUCCGGAUUUAUUGGGUUUAAAGGGUGCGUAGGUGGCUUUUUAAGUCUGGGGUGAAAGGCAGUGGCUCAACCACUUGCAGGGCCCUGGAUACUGGAAGGCUCGAGUACGGGUGAGGCCGGUGGAACGGGUGGUGUAGCGGUGAAAUGCAUAGAUACCAUCCAGAACACCGAUUGCGGAGGCAGCCGGCUAACCCGUUACUGACACUGAGGCACGAAAGCGUGGGGAGCAAACAGGAUUAGAUACCCUAGUAGUCC
rnacentral:rRNA from 1 species